rnacentral:rRNA from 1 species
GAUUAAGUUAUUAAGGGCGCACGGUGGAUGCCUUGGCACUAGAAGCCGAUGAAGGACGUUACUAACGACGAUAUGCUUUGGGGAGCUGUAAGUAAGCUUUGAUCCAGAGAUUUCCGAAUGGGGAAACCCAGCAUGAGUUAUGUCAUGUUAUCGAUAUGUGAAUACAUAGCAUAUCAGAAGGCACACCCGGAGAACUGAAACAUCUUAGUACCCGGAGGAAGAGAAAGAAAAUUCGAUUCCCUUAGUAGCGGCGAGCGAAACGGGAAGAGCCCAAACCAACAAGCUUGCUUGUUGGGGUUGUAGGACACUCUAUACGGAGUUACAAAGGACGACAUUAGACGAAUCAUCUGGAAAGAUGAAUCAAAGAAGGUAAUAAUCCUGUAGUCGAAAAUGUUGUCUCUCUUGAGUGGAUCCUGAGUACGACGGAGCACGUGAAAUUCCGUCGGAAUCUGGGAGGACCAUCUCCUAAGGCUAAAUACUCUCUAGUGACCGAUAGUGAACCAGUACCGUGAGGGAAAGGUGAAAAGCACCCCGGAAGGGGAGUGAAAUAGAACCUGAAACCGUGUGCUUACAAGUAGUCAGAGCCCGUUAAUGGGUGAUGGCGUGCCUUUUGUAGAAUGAACCGGCGAGUUACGAUUUGAUGCAAGGUUAAGCAGUAAAUGUGGAGCCGUAGCGAAAGCGAGUCUGAAUAGGGCGUUUAGUAUUUGGUCGUAGACCCGAAACCAGGUGAUCUACCCUUGGUCAGGUUGAAGUUCAGGUAACACUGAAUGGAGGACCGAACCGACUUACGUUGAAAAGUGAGCGGAUGAACUGAGGGUAGCGGAGAAAUUCCAAUCGAACCUGGAGAUAGCUGGUUCUCUCCGAAAUAGCUUUAGGGCUAGCCUCAAGUGAUGAUUAUUGGAGGUAGAGCACUGUUUGGACGAGGGGCCCCUCUCGGGUUACCGAAUUCAGACAAACUCCGAAUGCCAAUUAAUUUAACUUGGGAGUCAGAACAUGGGUGAUAAGGUCCGUGUUCGAAAGGGAAACAGCCCAGACCACCAGCUAAGGUCCCAAAAUAUAUGUUAAGUGGAAAAGGAUGUGGCGUUGCCCAGACAACUAGGAUGUUGGCUUAGAAGCAGCCAUCAUUUAAAGAGUGCGUAAUAGCUCACUAGUCGAGUGACACUGCGCCGAAAAUGUACCGGGGCUAAACAUAUUACCGAAGCUGUGGAUUGUCCUUUGGACAAUGGUAGGAGAGCGUUCUAAGGGCGUUGAAGCAUGAUCGUAAGGACAUGUGGAGCGCUUAGAAGUGAGAAUGCCGGUGUGAGUAGCGAAAGACGGGUGAGAAUCCCGUCCACCGAUUGACUAAGGUUUCCAGAGGAAGGCUCGUCCGCUCUGGGUUAGUCGGGUCCUAAGCUGAGGCCGACAGGCGUAGGCGAUGGAUAACAGGUUGAUAUUCCUGUACCACCUAUAAUCGUUUUAAUCGAUGGGGGGACGCAGUAGGAUAGGCGAAGCGUGCGAUUGGAUUGCACGUCUAAGCAGUAAGGCUGAGUAUUAGGCAAAUCCGGUACUCGUUAAGGCUGAGCUGUGAUGGGGAGAAGACAUUGUGUCUUCGAGUCGUUGAUUUCACACUGCCGAGAAAAGCCUCUAGAUAGAAAAUAGGUGCCCGUACCGCAAACCGACACAGGUAGUCAAGAUGAGAAUUCUAAGGUGAGCGAGCGAACUCUCGUUAAGGAACUCGGCAAAAUGACCCCGUAACUUCGGGAGAAGGGGUGCUCUUUAGGGUUAACGCCCAGAAGAGCCGCAGUGAAUAGGCCCAAGCGACUGUUUAUCAAAAACACAGGUCUCUGCUAAACCGUAAGGUGAUGUAUAGGGGCUGACGCCUGCCCGGUGCUGGAAGGUUAAGAGGAGUGGUUAGCUUCUGCGAAGCUACGAAUCGAAGCCCCAGUAAACGGCGGCCGUAACUAUAACGGUCCUAAGGUAGCGAAAUUCCUUGUCGGGUAAGUUCCGACCCGCACGAAAGGCGUAACGAUUUGGGCACUGUCUCAACGAGAGACUCGGUGAAAUCAUAGUACCUGUGAAGAUGCAGGUUACCCGCGACAGGACGGAAAGACCCCGUGGAGCUUUACUGUAGCCUGAUAUUGAAAUUCGGCACAGCUUGUACAGGAUAGGUAGGAGCCUUUGAAACGUGAGCGCUAGCUUACGUGGAGGCGCUGGUGGGAUACUACCCUAGCUGUGUUGGCUUUCUAACCCGCACCACUUAUCGUGGUGGGAGACAGUGUCAGGCGGGCAGUUUGACUGGGGCGGUCGCCUCCUAAAAGGUAACGGAGGCGCUCAAAGGUUCCCUCAGAAUGGUUGGAAAUCAUUCAUAGAGUGUAAAGGCAUAAGGGAGCUUGACGCGAGACCUACAAGUCGAGCAGGGUCGAAAGACGGACUUAGUGAUCCGGUGGUUCCGCAUGGAAGGGCCAUCGCUCAACGGAUAAAAGCUACCCCGGGGAUAACAGGCUUAUCUCCCCCAAGAGUUCACAUCGACGGGGAGGUUUGGCACCUCGAUGUCGGCUCAUCGCAUCCUGGGGCUGUAGUCGGUCCCAAGGGUUGGGCUGUUCGCCCAUUAAAGCGGUACGCGAGCUGGGUUCAGAACGUCGUGAGACAGUUCGGUCCCUAUCCGUCGUGGGCGUAGGAAAUUUGAGAGGAGCUGUCCUUAGUACGAGAGGACCGGGAUGGACAUACCUCUGGUGUACCAGUUGUCGUGCCAACGGCAUAGCUGGGUAGCUAUGUGUGGACGGGAUAAGUGCUGAAAGCAUCUAAGCAUGAAGCCCCCCUCAAGAUGAGAUUUCCCAACUUCGGUUAUAAGAUCCCUCAAAGAUGAUGAGGUUAAUAGGUUCGAGGUGGAAGCAUGGUGACAUGUGGAGCUGACGAAUACUAAUCGAUCGAAGACUUAAUCAA